rnacentral:rRNA from 1 species
GGGUCAGUAGGUUGGUCGUGCCACCCGUACGUACUGGUCUCACUGAUUCCUCCUUCCUGAAGAACCGUAAUGCCAUUAAUUUGGUGUUGUGGGGAAACAGGACUGUUACUUUGAAAAAAUUAGAGUGUUUAAAGCAAGCUAACGCUUGAAUACAUUAGCAUGGAAUAAUGAAAUAGGACGAUCGAUCCUAUUUUGUUGGUUUCUAGGAUUGACGUA